UACGUAGGGUGCAAGCGUUGUCCGGAAUUAUUGGGCGUAAAGAGCUCGUAGGCGGUUUGUCGCGUCGGCUGUGAAAGCCCGGAGCUCAACUCCGGGUCUGCAGUCGAUACGGGCAGACUUGAGUGUUGCAGGGGAGACUGGAAUUCCUGGUGUAGCGGUGAAAUGCGCAGAUAUCAGGAGGAACACCGGUGGCGAAGGCGGGUCUCUGGGCCGAUACUGACGCUGAGGAGCGAAAGCGUGGGGAGCGAACAGG
rnacentral:rRNA from 1 species